rnacentral:rRNA from 1 species
AGGAACCAAGGGAGUAUUCGAUCUGGCUCAGGCUGGAUCACCUCCUUUAGUAGGGGUUAGUGCCGAACGGGUGAGUAACACGUGAUAAACCUGCCCUUAACUCUGGGAUAAGCCUGGGAAACUGGGUCUAAUACCGGAUAUGACUGAUCAUCGCAUGGUGGUUGGUGGAAAGCUUUUUGUGGUUUUGGAUGGACUCGCGGCCUAUCAGCUUGUUGGUGAGGUAAUGGCUUACCAAGGCGACGACGGGUAGCCGGCCUGAGAGGGUGACCGGCCACACUGGGACUGAGACACGGCCCAGACUCCUACGGGAGGCAGCAGUGGGGAAUAUUGCACAAUGGGCGCAAGCCUGAUGCAGCGACGCCGCGUGAGGGAUGACGGCCUUCGGGUUGUAAACCUCUUUCAGUAGGGAAGAAGCGAAAGUGACGGUACCUGCAGAAGAAGCGCCGGCUAACUACGUGCCAGCAGCCGCGGUAAUACGUAGGGCGCAAGCGUUAUCCGGAAUUAUUGGGCGUAAAGAGCUCGUAAGCGGUUUGUCGCGUCUGCCGUGAAAGUCCGGGGCUCAACUCCGGAUCUGCGGUGGGUACGGGCAGACUAAAGUGAUGUAGGGGAGACUGGAAUUCCUGGUGUACCGGUGAAAUGCGCAUAUAUCGUGAGGAACACCGAUGGCAAAGGCAGGUCUCUGCGCAUUAACUGACGCUGAGGAGCGAAAGCAUGGGCAGCGAAGAUGAUUUAGAUAGCUCUGGUAGUCCAUGCCGUAAACGUUGGGCACUAGGUGUGGGGGACAUUCCACGUUUUCCGCGCCGUAGCUAACGCAUUAAGUGCCCCGCCUGGGGAGUACGGCCGCAAGGCUAAAACUCAAAGGAAUUGACGGGGGCCCGCACAAGCGGCGGAGCAUGCGGAUUAAUUCGAUGCAACGCGAAGAACCUUACCAAGGCUUGACAUGAACCGGUAACGCCUGGAAACAGGUGCCCCGCUUGCGGUCGGUUUACAGGUGGUGCAUGGUUGUCGUCAGCUCGUGUCGUGAGAUGUUGGGUUAAGUCCCGCAACGAGCGCAACCCUCGUUCUAUGUUGCCAGCACGUGAUGGUGGGGACUCAUAGGAGACUGCCGGGGUCAACUCGGAGGAAGGUGGGGACGACGUCAAAUCAUCAUGCCCCUUAUGUCUUGGGCUUCACGCAUGCUACAAUGGCCGGUACAAAGGGUUGCGAUACUGUGAGGUGGAGCUAAUCCCAAAAAGCCGGUCUCAGUUCGGAUUGGGGUCUGCAACUCGACCCCAUGAAGUCGGAGUCGCUAGUAAUCGCAGAUCAGCAACGCUGCGGUGAAUACGUUCCCGGGCCUUGUACACACUUCCCGUCAAGUCGCUCAACUCCUGACACCCCCCCCUACUAUAGAGUUGAUCCCAGCCUCAGCCUGAUCGACCCCCUGCUUCUAUUGCC